rnacentral:rRNA from 1 species
UACGUAGGGGGCUAGCGUUAUCCGGAAUUACUGGGUGUAAAGGGUGCGUAGGCGGGACCGCAAGUCAGACGUGAAAUACCGGGGCCUAACUCCGGGGCUGCGUUUGAAACUGUGGUUCUUGAGUGAAGUAGAGGCAGGCGGAAUUCCUAGUGUAGCGGUGAAAUGCGUAGAUAUUAGGAGGAACACCAGUGGCGAAGGCGGCUUUCUGGACUGUAACUGACACUGAGGCACGAAAGCGUGGGGAUCAAAC